AUUGAACGCUGGCGGCAGGCUUAACACAUGCAAGUCGAACGUGUGGCGGACGGGUGAGUAAUGCUUGGGAAUCUAGCUUAUGGAGGGGGAUAACUACGGGAAACUGUAGCUAAUACCGCGUACCAUAGGAUGAGCCCAAGUGGGAUUAGGUAGUUGGUGAGGUAAAGGCUCACCAAGCCUACGAUCUCUAGCUGGUCUGAGAGGGUGACCAGCCAGACUGGGACUGAGACACGGCCCAGACUCCUACGGGAGGCAGCAGUGGGGAAUAUUGCGCAAGGGAGGAAACCUGACGCAGCCAUGCCGCGAGAAUGAAGAAGGCCUUCGGGUUGUAAAGUUCUUUCGGUAGCGAGACGUUAACUACAGAAGAAGCACCGGAUAACGCCGUGCCAGCAGCCGCGGUAAUAC
rnacentral:rRNA from 1 species